CGAAUAUUCCGCAAUGGGCGAGAGCCUGACGGAGCAAUGCCGCGUGCAGGAUGAAGCCCCUCGGGGUGUAAACUGCUGUCAGGGUUCAGCAACACAAUGAGCAGACCCAGAGGAAGAGACGGCUAACUCUGUGCAGCAGCCGCGGUAAUACAGAGGUCUCGAGCGUUGCGCGGAUUCAUUGGGCUUAAAGCGUGCGUAGGCGGGCCCGUAAGUGCCUUGUGAAAUCCCAUGGCUCAACCAUGGAAUUGCUCGGUAGACUACGGGUCUUGAGGUCGGUAGGGGUCGCCGGAACUCUAGGUGGAGCGGUGAAAUGCGUAGAUAUCUAGAGGAACGCCAAAGGUGAAGACAGGCGACUGGGCCGACUCUGACGCUGAGGCACGAAAGCGUGGGGAGCAAAC
rnacentral:rRNA from 1 species